CGGCGGACGGGUGAGUAACACGUGGAUAACCUACCUAUAAGACUGGGAUAACUUCGGGAAACCGGAGCUAAUACCGGAUAAUAUAUUGAACCGCAUGGUUCAAUAGUGAAAGACGGUUUUGCUGUCACUUAUAGAUGGAUCCGCGCCGCAUUAACUAGUUGGUAAGGUAACGGCUUACCAAGGCAACGAUGCGUAGCCGACCUGAGAGGGUGAUCGGCCACACUGGAACUGAGACACGGUCCAG
rnacentral:rRNA from 1 species